rnacentral:misc_RNA from 1 species
AUUUUUUUUUUCUGAAAAGCGCUUUUUGAAUCCAAACAAAACCUUAAUUGGUUGGUAUAGUGUUAAAUCAACAGUCUAAUUUAAACAAUUAUGAUAUUUAUGAUCAGCAAAUGAAAGGUCAUUUUCAUAUAUUGUUUAGAACCAUCACCCACCACCACCAUAAUUAUAUUUAAUUAACAAUUGUAUAUGCUUGUAAUUAAUUUAAAUUAUCUAUUUAAACAAUAAUUAAUAUCAUUAUAUAAUUAUCCUCCUCUCAAUUGUUUUUUAAAUUCUUUAUUAAUUAAUAUCUUGUUUUUGCUAUACUAAUUAUUAUUUCCCCUUGAUUUAAUUUCUUCUUAAUAAGCAAAAAAUGAAGUGGGCAUUUUAAAGUAGUAUCUGAUGGGUACACUGAAAUGUUCAUAACAACAAAAAUGAAAUUCUUUCAUUUGUUGUGAUGGUUAAUAAAUGAGCCAAUUUUCAAGCAAAGCAGAGACUAAAUGGAAAAAUUCAACUACAUCUAGAAUUGAUUUAUUAUUAAUUAAAGAUAUAAAUAUAUAAAUUUAAUUAUUUUAUAUGCGAAACUUA